rnacentral:rRNA from 1 species
CCUACGGGCGGCAGCAGUAGGGAAUAUUGCUCAAUGGGGGAAACCCUGAAGCAGCAACGCCGCGUGGAGGAUGAAGGUUUUCCGAUUGUAAACUCCUUUUGUUAGAGAAGAUAAUGACGGUAUCUAACGAAUAAGCACCGGCUACCUCUGUGCCAGCAGCCGCGGUCAUACGGAGGGUGCAAGCGUUACUCGGAAUCACUGGGCGUAAAGAGCGCGUAGGCGGGAUAGCAAGUCAGGUGUGAAAUGCUAUGGCUUAACCAUAGAACUGCAUUUGAAACUGUUAUUCUAGAGUAAGGGAGAGGUAGGUGGAAUUCUUGGUGUAGGAGUAAAAUCCGUAGAGAUCGAGAGGAAUACUCAUUGCGAAGGCGAGCUGCUAGAACAUAACUGACGCUGAGGCGCGAAGGCGUGGGGAGCAAACGGGAUUAGAUACCCGAGUAGUC